rnacentral:rRNA from 1 species
GGACUACCAGGGUAUCUAAUCCUGUUUGCUACCCACGCUUUCGUGUCUCAGCGUCAGUUGCGGUCCAGAAAGCCGUCUACACCACAGGUGUUCCUCCUGAUAUCUACGCAUUUCACCGCUACACCAGGAAUUCCACUUUCCCAUCCCGCACUCUAGCCCCCCAGUUUUCGGCGCACCCUCCCAGUUGAGCCGGGAGAUUUCACACCAAACUUAGGGGACCGCCUACACACCCUUUACGCCCAGUAACUCCGAACAACGCUUGCUGCCUACGUAUUACCGCGGCGGCUGGCAC